rnacentral:rRNA from 1 species
UACGUAGGGUGCGAGCGUUGUCCGGAAUUAUUGGGCGUAAAGGGCUCGUAGGCGGUCCAUCGCGUCGGGAGUGAAAAGCUGGGGCUUAACCCCCAGUCCUGCUUCCGAUACGGGUGGACUAGAGGUAGGCAGGGGAGAACGGAAUUCCUGGUGUAGCGGUGAAUGCGCAGAUAUCAGGAGGAACACCGGUGGCGAAGGCGGGCGUCCUGGGCGAUACUGACGCUGAGGAGCGAAAGCGUGGGGAGCGAACAGGAUUAGAACUACCCGUGU